UAGCGAACAUUAAGACAGGGACACAGCUGAAGAGGAGACGAAACACAGCGUGUGUUUCGUCUUCUCUUCAGCUGUGUCCCUGUCUUAAUGUUCGCUA
rnacentral:pre_miRNA from 1 species